GGCAGUAGAUGGAAAUUACGAACAAAAUCUUGUGUCGAGCACAGGGUGUUCACACACUGCUCCACCUCACGAUCAACGUCAUUGGUGGGCUGUAGAUCUUGGAGCAAUUUAUGCUAUCAGUAAUGUUGUUAUAUUUGGUAGAACAGACUGUUGUUCUGAGAGACUCUCAAAUUUCAACAUUGACGUCAUUAAGCCAUGCAAAAACUCAACCCAUUGGUUUGAAGGAGUUACUUCACUGUGCCAUCACAUACAGGAGGCAACUACCUAUCUAAAUGCUACCUGUUCUCACGGGACCAUUGGAAGGUAUGUUCGCAUACAGCUGAAAGACCCGAAUCCUUUAGCCUUAUGUUAAGUUGAGGUACAUGGACUAUAUUUGCAGGAUUUAAAUUCAGUGACCUUGCCUUAUACAUGUGGAUUUGAAGGUCACAGUUAUGAUGGACUAGACGGAACCAUUGAAACAACACACGUCAAUAGCGAUAUUCACUGUGCAUACAUUUGUGCUUAUAUGAACGGAUGCCAUGCUGCAGACGUCGUAAGAAAGAGCAAAAGCUGUACUUUAAUGGAGAGAAAAAAAGGGUCCAAUGUCGUUUCUGAU